ACGGCCUUUGUCCCGUGAAAAACACGAAUCCGAAUGCCAAAGCAUACAUCGAAGGAACAUGAACAACAAAAGGGAAUGCCAAGAAUCACAGUCGUUGGUUGUGUUGUGCGCGACCUAUGUCAGUCGGUUCGCCAGAAUGCCUGGCAAGGAGUUCAGUUAUUUCUGAUAAACAUUUAGAGUUUAUCGUCAGUGUGCCGAAUGGACUACGCGUAUUUAGACGUGCGAUUCUGAAAUACUCCGGAUUCAUGUUGAGAAGCACAUGCGAUUUUGAGUGAUGAAAUAAUGAUUAGCAGCAGAACGUGUUGGAUAUGCAAAUAAAUAAAUAAAUACGAUUUUAGAAAAAAAUAAAAAAAUAGAAAAAAAUCAGUGGGAAAAUAUUUCAUGGAGAUUUUGCCAAAAAAAAAAAAAAAUAUUCAAAAAUAUUUGAUAAAUUAAAAUUAAAAAGCUGUAAAUCAAUUUGAAUGGGCAGUGAAAACAAAUCUACAGAUCUGCAUUAAAAAUACACAAAAGGUGAAUUUUAAAUUGUGAUUGAAAAAUUAAAAAAAAAAUAAGCCGAAAAAAGUGAAUAGUUCUCGGCCAUUCAAUUGUUGCUUGGCACACACUUCCUUUGCUCUGAGCAGCAUCGUUAUUUUUAUUGUAAAAAAGUUUCCUGCAGUUGUGCCUGGCUGGUGCUGCUAACAUUGAUGCCUGGUGGCAAACAUCCGUUUAACAGCCAUUGUCAAGAGGCCUUAGCCGGAAGGCAUACUUGUUUGAAACGGAAUUGUGUCUUGCAAUCUAACUUUGAUUAAAAUCUUCAAAGUAUUCCAUUGCUCACAAUGGAUGACAACAAUAUUAAACGUUUUCGUUUUUCUGCAAAAAGGAUUUCUUUUGAAACGUGGUAAACUGAUAUUAAAAACCUAAAUGUGGACAACAAAGUACAAUGAAUCAAUAAAAUAUAAAAAAUAUGCAAUGUGAAAACGAUUAUGAAGUGCUUUCGAAACGCUUUAGUUAAAAGUAAACAUUUAUUGAACUUGAAUGCAAAUAGAAACUGUAAAUUGAUGCAUUAAUUGGUUGCGUUUAACGUUUUUUGUUUUUCUCAAUAACUUUCUACGUUUGUCAACACAAAAGUGUUUGCAAAAAAACAGGUUAAAGUAAAUCCUAUUUAAAAUUGGUUUUUUUUGUGACUGUUAAUGGGGAUUGGAGACAUCAGCACUACACUUUGGAGAGAAAUAAUAAAAUGGUAAGUACUAUCCAAAUCUAUGACUUCUAUAAAUUCCAAAUGAGAACAAACCAAAUAAUAUUU